CAGUAGAGGAGCUGUGCUUGGCUAGAGCAUUCAUGCUGAGUAAGCAAAAUGUUGUUUUGGAUGCCUGGACAUAGCCAAGAAACUCAAGUAAAAGAGCAGAUCGUGAUGGGUGGAGCACCGUAUCCUGCCAUGCUUGAUUUUGUCUCCUGCUCCUCUGCUUUGCAGUCACCUCAGCCAUUCCCCAGGACCACAACAUAUGCUUCAGCUUUCCUCAGGUAACAGAGAGCUCUUUAUUUUAGCUCAAGAGCCUGAUCCCACUUAGACCUCUCCUAUGUCUGGUUUUGCCAUAAAUCCAGAAUGAUAACCCCAUUGUACUGACAUAUUCACAAGAGGGACAUCAACAUUAUUUGUGAAGGAGUGGCACAAAAAUAAGACGUGGAAAUGCGUGGAGUUGAAAUCAGGUUAGGAGAGCAUUAUUAAACACAAAACUCAGCCCUCUGGGAGCUAGUGGAACUCAUCCUCUAGAGAUUUUUUUCGUGCAGAAAAGGUUUCGUUAGGGACACCCUGGAAUACUGUCUGGAAAGACGACAAGAGAGAAGAAGCUGCAUUCAUCGACUUGUUUUCACUGGAUGAUUUGGAUUUGGAAGCAGAACCGGCUUUGCCUUGCUGUGUGAAGCAGAGCACCCCACCUUGCUGCAGUGGCGCCCAGCGCGCUGCUCACUCACCUCCACGCUGACUGCAGCACCUCUGCUCCUUCACAGCACCCUUUGCUUCUGAGUGGCUUUGUCCCAUUCCCAGACCCUAUUUCCCUUACCAUGGAAAGCGAAUUAAAAGGGCUGGGGGGGAAGAUAAAGGAUCCUGCUGUUCAGUGGGUAUAUGCGAUGGAAAGCUGCUACCUCCCCUCCCCGUGCCUGCUGCUUUUCCCAUCCGACGCGUGACUUGCCUUUCCCAUGCCUUUGAAACAUCUAGCAGCCAGAGUUUGCUUGUCUGCACAGGAUGGAUGCUUGCAAUGCAAUUACAUUCUUGAUAUUAAGAAGGUGAAAAGACUGAUGAGGAUUGCUGUUAUCCUGCAGAAGCUCUCCUACCAGUACCUCUCACACAGCUUUCCUGCACCAGUCACAUUCUGCACCUUAGCAUGGGUUCAAAGCUCACGUCUCAGCAGGGUUGGUCCACCUUACAGAAGUACAGGAGAGAUUUUUCCAGGAUGCUGAUUCAUGGUGCAUUCAGUAAGGAUGGAACUUAGCAGCUUGGGGCAGUUUGACUUCUUGUCUUGUUGAGAAGGACAUCUGAGGUCAAUGGCUGCAUUUGGCUUUGUCAUGUACCCGCCUUUGGAUGAUACUCUCCACAGCUUAUGAACUCCUUUUUCCAUACCUCUUUUCCUAUUUCUGAGUGAAAUGCCUCAAGUCAGUGGAGCUUUGAGCUGAUUCCAGAAUUUACAGCCUCUGAAAUCUGCCUCUAGGACUCUGAAAGCCUUGGUCAAGGCCAGGACUUUGGGACUUCAAGGUACCGAGCUUCAGAACAAGAUGGCUGCAAGUCCAAGUUUAGUGAAUUGCAAAUUUUGAGUUAUUUGCAGAGAUAUAUCUGGGCAGUUGUAAUCUUGACAGUGCUGCUUUCUACUACAGUCUACCACUGUAACUUGCUUUGAGACGUGUAGCUUUUUCUAGAACCGUAUUAGAUACCAACAGUGUCUGCUUUUGUCAGUCAUCUGUGUAUAAGUACUACAAUACUCAUAAAUUAACCAGAGUUAAUUUAUAGAUAUUUUUAUAUAUGCACAAGUAGUUUGAUACCUCCAGCUGGGAAUGUCUUCAGACUUAAAAUUGUUUUCCCAUGCUGCAUGCUAAAUUGCAAAUCAAAGCCACUGCUUCAUUGUCAUAUUUAAAGACAUCUCCCCCUUUUUAGUACCAUGAACCAAAUACUGCACGUGGACUAAAACUUGAUUCAAUCGACCAGGCAUAAGACUGUGAAAAUAAUUUUAAACCAAAUGCAGUCAAGGGUGAAGUUCAGCAGAUGUAACACUUCUGAGUCCAAACUUUUCUCCAUAAUGUUUCACUCCUGAGUGCAAUCUGCAGUAAAGUAUAAUGAGGUGUCAGUUUUACCCACUCUAUGCAAACUAAUGAAGGAUAUUAAAGAUGUAGCAUGGUUAAUACAAUGAUUUCAGUUUUACAUUUCCCUAACCCCCUGUCCGUCUUGCUUAUUUGCUUUCCAGCUAAAUACUGUAAAUGAAAGCAAUAAUGACUGAUGAGAGUAAACACACUUUGCAAUAUGCAAAGCAAACACUGACAAAACAGAGCAGUAUAGCAGCAAUAAAGGUCACUUGUUCUCUAGAGGCCAUAAAAAAGAAAGUUACUUUUAGUGAACCCCAAAGUGUCUUCUAUUCUGAUUACUGUUAACAAGUGAAACAAAAUUCUUCCUUUUUUCAAGUUCGUGGUGCAAAAUGCUGCUGAAAUAUAACCAGGGGAACACAAAGUCAGAAUUAGUCAGUGACAAAUAAAAUGAGUAAAUUACUGUUAGGACUGGCCUGGAAAAUAUCAUCUAUUUCCUUUUUCAUUACCAGAAAUAAGUUUGUGUUUGAAUAUUUCCUCUGCCUUCUAAACACUUUUCUUGGACACGUAGGUGGGGAUAUUCAGAAACGUUUUUGGAGAAUUCCAUGUAUUUUUUGUUGUUGGUGGUGUUUUUUUUUGGGGAAGGGAAUUCCUAUUUGAGCUGACCUUCUGGGAGACCAUUGGAUAAUCAUUAAGUUGAGAGCUUAAAUUGGAGGAAUAAAUUGGUUCCUUCACGUUCAUCUAGAUUUGUUUAAUAGGUUCAGGAUCUAUUUGCCUACUUGUUAUUAAUUUUUGAAUGUGCAGGUAUUUUGCAAAUAUUGAAUUAUAUACUAUACAGAAGCAUGCAAACUUUAAAAUGUCCAAGAGACCUAAUCUGAAUAUAUGUAAAGCAUCUCUCUCUAGAAAACACUUUUUCCUAUGGCUUUUGCAAAGCACCUGGGCAAUCAAAAAUGGCUGAAAGAAAUAUGUUACAGGGGUGGUGCUUUUGUUGCAGUGUGCCAUUCUUUCUGUAACUUCACACCAUGAUAAAAUAUUAUUUUCAUAUCCUCUGUACAUGGUAAAUUAAUAACUCAUCGAGAUUUUAAGUGGAUUUUUUCAAAAACUUUUAGAACUGAAAUAGCCAUAUUUACUUGUAGAAAUAUUAAAAUAAGGAAAAUACUCUCAUUUAAUUUUAAUCAUGUUGAAAUUAAAGGCAAAUGUGUUGAUAUAGAUCUAAGGAAGGAUUUACAGGAGGAAAUAAUUGCAGUUCUGUAUCAUUACUCAGACUAUCACAAAAUUAAGCUAUUUUAACAGGAUUUCUGUAAUGAAACUAAAAAGAGAAUUCUUGGGAAAUAUUUCCUAGAAAAAUGGAUACCUGCCUACUCUUAAAUUGGUGAUUGUUUUGUUUUGCUGUUGAAUCCAUAUUUAAGAGUUUAAUGCACAAAUACAUAAAUAGAGGUAUGUAGUUUAAUCCUUUCUAGGAAAAUAUCUUGAAGGAGUUUUGUCUGAAUUCAAUAUUCACAGCUCCGAGAGGGGCAAAUGCAAUUUCUCAGGACAGUGUCACUGCUAUAGUCAAGGAACAAAUGCAGGCAGAGAACAGGCAGCAUUAUCUGGAAGGUCAGGAACAAAUUAAAUAAAAGAUUGGAGCUGUCACUGUUGUAGAUUGUUAUGUGGAAGAGACAGGGGUGUGUUAAAAUAUUGCAUUGAUAUAAGGACAUUAUUUCUGCUGGUUGUAGCUGUGAUUUACAUGCUGAUGGUGAUAUCUGUGGUUCUUGUAGCACGUAAAUGAUUUUCAUAACAAAUCUGCUUAGCAAGGUAAAAACAUUCCUUAAAUGUCUUUUAGCAUACACGACCUCCCCAAUUUGAAUCUGUAUCGUGCGCUGUAGAUACUACUCAAAGCAGUUUAUUUUACCACUGUGGCCAAGAAGAGCAGGGUGUGAGGAAGCCAAGUGAGCAGCAGGAGCCAUGGCAAUUCAGUGAAACAAUUCAGUUUCCUAAUGAUAUUGUUUUCUUUUGAUACAGCUUUACAUGUAAAACCGCAAUGCAUUCUCUGCCCAAAUCUGGAGUUGAUUGCUCUGAUGUUUACUACAGUUUUCACUGUUCGUUCUUAAAGGGUUUGCUAUUCUAAUGCAGAACAUCAGAAAAUACUCCUUCCUUUGGGGAAAAAAAAAGUCACUAUAGUGUUCUAAAUAUAAUGAAAUAUUUUACGAAACAAAAAUGAGGAAUAGAUUAAUACCCAUGUUUAAAUAUGAAUUGUUUAAUAUUUGGUAGAAGUGUUGUUUAAUUUCACUUAUAAAAAUUGAACAGUGCUAGUCAGGCUGGUACGUCCUUACAGUAAAAAUAACAGCAUGGAGGCACCUUUGCUGUCCCAGCGUCAAUAAAAUGACAGUAAAAUAGCACAGUCCUGCCUUAUGGCAGAACAUGUACGUCUAGCAUGAUCUCAUUAGUUCAAGGGUGUCCACGUGCUCUUAGAUGCGAACGUAGACAGAAUGGAGAUAAGGAGUUAGGGAAUCAUAUACAUUAGAUGGUGAAACCAGUAACUCCGCCUUUGAGGGGAUUAAUGAGAUUUGCUCUGUGAAAGAACUUUCUAUAUUGUCAUCUGAACUGUGGAAAUCUGGAUAUCUAUUUUCUCUGUUUCACAUCAGUGACAUUUUAUGGAAGAAAUACGUCUGAAUGUGUGUGUAUAUAUAUGCAUGAUUAUGCAAAGGAAAACUAAAUUAAAGCUUACAGCUUGCACAAACUGCUACAAUGGAAGGAUCAAAAAGCGGUGGUAUGGUUUCAGAAAGAACUUGCUGUAA